GGCGCAGCGCCGCCCCGCGGCAGCCUCCGAGCGCCACGGACUUCGCCCUGUGCGCCAUCCUGAGCGGCCCCCGGCCCCCGCGCGCACCCGGGGCCGCUCGGGUGCACCCGCCGAUCCGCGCGAGUCCCCGCGCACCUGCCCCGAGACCGGGGCUCUUCGCCGCUCGUCUAAACCACCACGCGGUGCGACUCCCGACUUGCCCGUGUAGCCCGCUGAAGCGUGAGGUCCCCGCUGGCCUCGCCACGACCCUGCGCGCGCCCCGCUGGGGCCUGAUUAGCGUGCGGCCACGCAGACAGCAGGAAAUAGAAAGUCUCAGGAAACCAUUGCCGAGGGCGGGCCACGGCGGUAUGCCGAAUUACAUCUACAUGGCUAACAGGUAACCCUGCCCUUGGAUUGGGCUUCCCUGGGGGCUCAGGGGAGUCCACCUGCCAAUGCGGGAGCUGUAGGAGACUCAGGUUCAACUCCUGGGUCAGGAAGAUCCCCUGGAGAAGGAAAUGGCAACCUACUCCAACAUUCUAGGAGCCUGGGGAGCUACAGUCCAUGGGGCUGGAAAGGGUCAGACAUGACUGAGCACGCACACACCCUUUGAACCAAACGUGCUGUGUUAUAACAACAGGAAACCCACCAACACAGAUGUGCUCUGAUUUUUAAGUUCUUACAUGCAACUCUUUUGAGGAAGAUAUUCAUCAAUUUCUUCUGAAUUUUAAUAAUCCAAAAAUCUUAUCUUUUUCUCUUCUGGGCUGAGGGAGAGGAAUGGGAGAGGAGAGAGAGAAGGAAGGAGAGUGGGGUCGUGAGAAAAGAAGCGGUGAGCAGAGAGUGUGGGAGCACUGUUCCCAGCUGGAAGAUUUUAGGCAAAUACCCUUUCCCUCUGGGCCUCUUUAUAAAAUGAGAGGGGAGGGCCAGGUCUUGUCUCCUUCCAGCUAUGGAAUUCUGUAACUUAAAAUUACAUGGCAGAGGUGUGGAAAGGAAGAACCCAAAGUAAGCAGAAAGAAGCAAAUGACAGAGAUGAGCAGAAAUAAGUGAAGUAGAAAUGAAAAUGUAAUAGAGAUGGCCAAUAAAAACAAAGCUUGUUCUUUGAUAAGACUGAAAAAAAAAAGAAAAAGGCAAGGUGGUGUAAGAUCAUAAAUAGAUUGGAGAUAAG
ensembl:lncRNA